CCUACGGGUGGCAGCAGUGGGGAAUAUUGCACAAUGGGGGAAACCCUGAUGCAGCAACGCCGCGUGAAGGAAGACGGUUUUCGGAUUGUAAACCUCUGUUCUUAGUGAAGAAUAAUGACGGUAGCUAAGGAGCAAGCCACGGCGAACUACGUGCCAGCAGCCGCGGUAAGACGCAGGUGGCAAGGGUUGUCCGGAAUUACUGGGGGUAAAGGGAGCGUAGGCGGGAAGCCAAGUCAGCUGUGAAAACUACGGGCUUAACUUGUAGACUGCAGUUGAAACUGGUUGUCUUGAGUGCAGUAGAGGUUGGCGGAAUUCCGGGUGUAGCGGUGAAAUGCGUCGAUAUUUGGAGGAACUCCGGUGGCGAAGGCGGCCAACUGGUCUUUAACUGACGCUGAGGCUCGAAAGUGUGGGGAGCAAACAGGAUUAGAUACCCGUGUAGUC
rnacentral:rRNA from 1 species